rnacentral:rRNA from 1 species
UACGGGGGGGGCAAGCGUUGUUCGGAAUUACUGGGCGUAAAGGGCUCGUAGGUGGCCAACUAAGUCAGACGUGAAAUCCCUCGGCUUAACCGGGGAACUGCAUCUGAUACUGGAUGGCUUGAGUUCGGGAGAGGGAUGCGGAAUUCCAGGUGUAGCGGUGAAAUGCGUAGAUAUCUGGAGGAACACCGGUGGCGAAGGCGGCAUCCUGGACCGACACUGACGCUGAGGAGCGAAAGCCAGGGGAGCAAAGCGGG